rnacentral:rRNA from 1 species
GACGAACGCUGGCGGCGUGCCUAAUACAUGCAAGUAGAACGCCGUUGCGAACGGGUGAGUAACGCGUAGGUAACUGCCUCAUAGGAGGGGAUAACUAUUGGAAACGAUAGCUAAUACCGCAUACAGUGAGAUGGACCUGCUUUGUAUUAGCUAGUUGGUGAGGUAAAGGCUCACCAAGGCGACGAUACACAGCCGACCUGGGAGGGUGAUCGGCCACACUUGGACUGAGACACGGCCCAGACUCCUUCGGGAGGCAGCAGUAGGGAAUCUUCGGCAAUGGACCGAAGUCUGACUGAGCCACGCCGCCUGAGUGGAGAAGGUUUUCGGAUCGUAAAGCUCUGUUGUGAGGGGAGCGGUAACUAACCAGAAAGGGACGGCUAACUACGUGCCAGCAGCCGCGGUAAUUC